rnacentral:rRNA from 1 species
UCAGAUUGAGGGCGUGCAACCCGCCCUCAUGAAGUCGGAGUUGCUAGUAAUCGCGGAUCAGCAUGCCGCGGUGAAUACGUUCCCGGGCCUUGUACACACCGCCCGUCACACCAUGGGAGUUGGGAGCACCCGAAGCCGGUGAGGUAACCGAAAGGAGCCAGCCGUCGAAGGUGAGACCAAUGACUGGGGUGAAGUCGUAACAAGGUACC